rnacentral:ncRNA from 2 species
UUAACGAAAAGGCAAACUCAGGGAAACCUGAUGUGCGCAAAGCUACAGGGGCUUCAUUCCUAACGGAAUAUGCUCGCCAGCUACCGAA